rnacentral:rRNA from 1 species
UCCGUAGGUGACAAGCGUUGUCCGGAUUUACUGGGCGUAAAGAGCGCGCAGGCGGUCGUUCAAGUCGCGUGUGAAAUCCCACGGCUCAACCGUGGAACUGCUUGGCAUACUGGCGGUCUUGAGCAACCUAGGGGCGAGCGGAACAAAUGGUGGAGCGGUGAAAUGCGUAGAUAUCAUUUGGAACGCCAAUGGUGAAACAGCUCGCUGGGUUUUGCUGACGCUGAGACACGAAAGCCAGGGGAGCAAAGCG